rnacentral:rRNA from 1 species
AUGUCCAUACUGAACUUUAGCCCUGUAUCAUGGCUUUACCUUGCCCUUUCAACUAUUUUGUUGUUUGGUAGAUUGAUGAAAUGGGCAUUAGAGAAUGCAUAUGAUUCGUUUACCAGUAUAUGGAUGUUAUGA